UACGUAGGGGGCAAGCGUUGUCCGGAAUCAUUGGGCGUAAAGCGCGUGUAGGCGGCCAGGUAAGUCCGUUCUGAAAGCCCGGGGCUCAACCCCGGGAGGCGGAUGGAUACUGCUUGGCUCGAGUCCGGAAGAGGCGAGUGGAAUUCCCGGUGUAGCGGUGAAAUGCGCAGAUAUCGGGAGGAACACCGACGGCGUAGGCAGCGCCCUGGCUGUGAAUAGAGCUGACACUGAGGCACGAAAGCUGGGGGAGCAAACAGG
rnacentral:rRNA from 1 species